GUUUAAGUUUAUAUGGGCUGAAAAAAAACUAAAACUGAAAGUUUUUAUAGAAACUUAGUUUUGUUUUUAAAAGUACAGUAUAAAAAAAGUGCCUAAAUGACACUGGAUGUCAUCAAGCUCGUAGGGUUUCAAAGUAAACAAAAGAGCAAAUUUAUUUUAGGGAGAUGGGCAUUUGAAAAUAACCAAUGAUUCAGUACAACUACCUUGACAUAUUAAGAAAUGUUUGGUAAUGGGACUGAAAUGGUGAAUGCAUGCUGAUGCACAGCUGUAAAAAACAAAUUAAGCGAUUUUGAAGUCCUAUGAGUGUGUUUUCUUCACUUUGGUUGAGAUCAUCAAGUUUGAUGAUCUCAGCCAAUCCAAUGCUUUUCCAUAGGAAAUCAUUGGGAGGCUAUUGUGCAUGUGCGGCAAAAAGCUGCACGGCCAAUCAGCAUUUCAUGCAGACCCAAUCUAAUACACUGCCCACAAAUCCAAUACAUUGCCCCUAAAUCCAAUAUACUGACCCCUCCGCCAAAUUAAUACAGCGCCCUCCCCCUAAUUUAACACCCCCCACCAUCCUAAUACACUGGCUCCCUCCUUCCCCAAUUUAGCACACUACGCAGGAAGGUCUCCCAAGCCCCUCUUCUCCUACCUUAAGAUGAGCCGCCUGUCCUCCAGUUCCAGGUCUGCUCUGUUUAAGCAGGCCAGACGCUCCUCUGGCACUGCAAGCAGGAGGGAAGAGGGAGUGGCUGGCCUGCUCUGCAGACAGACAGCCACUUUGCUGUCUUGUGGCUGUGGGAGGGAAGACAAGUAUCCGACCGGAAAGAUGUUUCCUGUCUUGCAGCUGGUUGCAGCCACAGUACAACGCAGCCCCAGGGCAGGCGGGCUGCAAAUAUAUUCAUUGUCGGCUGCAAGUUUGACAUGCUUGCUUUACAUGCUCUUAAAG